UGGGUAACCUGCCUCGAAGACCGGGNUAACACACCGAAUGGUGUGCUAAUACCGGAUAACCCUGCUUCUCACAAGAGGAGCAGGAAAAGGGGGCCUCUACUUGUAAGCUUCCACUUCGAGAUGGGCCCGCGGCCUAUCAGGUAGUUGGUGGGGUAACGGCCUACCAAGCCUACGACGGGUAGCUGGUCUGAGAGGAUGGUCAGCCACACUGGAACUGAGACACGGUCCAGACUCCUACGGGAGGCAGCAGUGGGGAAUAUUGGGCAAUGGGGGAAACCCUGACCCAGCGACGCCGCGUGGAGGAUGAAGGCCUUCGGGUCGUAAACUCCUGUCAGAGGGGAAGAAGGUUGCAAGGUUAAUACCCUUGUUAACUUGACGGUACCCUCAGAGGAAGCACCGGCUAACUACGUGCCAGCAGCCGCGGUAAUACGUAGGGUGCAAGCGUUGUUCGGAAUUACUGGGCGUAA
rnacentral:rRNA from 1 species